GGAGCAGUUGGAGGCUCAGUGGUUGAGCGCCUGCUUUGUGUGUAUGACGUCCUGGGUUCAAAUCCCAGCUGCUCCC